rnacentral:lncRNA from 1 species
AUCCUCAGGUAAAGCACAUCUAUUAUUCAUAUCUUCAAUAACAGGUGCUUUGCCAAUUAGCACAGUUAAUGCCAGAAUAGUUUUUUACAGAUGAAAUUGGUGGCAUGUUGAUUAACAUGAUGAAAGUUAGAAAUAGGAUCUCUUUGGUGAAUAUAAAGAUAAGCAGACUAGUUAAAAGAGCUUGGAGACUCUCCACUCUUGCAUGAAUAAAAUACCCAGCACUCUUAGAGUGAUGCCUUUACCUGGUCUUGCGCCUAGCCAUAAACUAUGGAAGAUUCUGGUUGCUCAAUGCUGGCUAAACUGGCAGCAUUAUUCUGCCUCUGGAAUUCCAGAAAUUGUCUUAGAGAACUUUGCAAGGAAGAUUAUAUGAACUACUUUUUUGCUGGCUUAACAAAUAUUUAGUUAACAAGUGUCUGUGUGUGCAGCAGAAUUUGGCCAGUGGCUUGCUUUGUUCAUGAUUGCGUAACGUUUGUGGAGAAGAAUAGUUAACAGUUCUGACUUAACAACUCCUAGGUUGCAAUCAUUCACACAUGACCUAUCUGGCUCGGGUCAGUUUUCAACACCCACUCACUGGAGUGUGUCCAUACUGCUUCCCUAUUUUCCAGGUGGUUCUUAUCUAUUUAAUAACAGCUUACUUCUUUAGGAGAAAUAGACUAUCGCAUUAUUACAUUAAGUAUUCACUCUGAUUGUAAAAACACAUCCCGAUUUCAGAAGCAUUAAAAAAUGAGAGAAAUGUGCAUCUUGGCCAGGCACAGUGGCUCACACCUGUAAUCCUAGCACUUUGGUUGGCUGAGGCAGAUGGAUCACUUGAGGUCAGGAGUUCGAGACUGGCCAAUAUGGCGAAACUCUGUGCCUACUAAAAAUACAAAAAAUUAGUCAGGCGUGGUGGCAGGCACCUGUAAUCCCAGCUACUAGGGAGGCUGAGGCACGAGAAUCUCUUGAAUCCAGGAGACGGAUUCAAGCUAAGAUUAUGCCACUGCACUCCAACCUGGAUGACAGAGCAAGACUCCAUCUCAAAAAAGAAAAAAAAAAAAAA